AUUGAACGCUGGCGGCAGGCCUAACACAUGCAAGUCGAGCGAACGGCGGACGGGUGAGUACUGUAUGGGGACUGCCCGAUAGAGGGGGAUAACUACUGGAAACGUUAGCUAAUACCGCAUACUAUCGAAUAACCCAUAUGGAAUGAGCUAGUAGGUGAGGUAAUGGCUCACCUAGUCGACGAUCCCUAGCUGGUCUGAGAGGAUGAUCAGCCACACUGGGACUGAGACACGGCCCAGACUCCUACGGAGGCAGCAGUGGGGAAUAUUGCACAAUGGGCGAAAGCCUGAUGGAGCCAUGCCGCGUGUAUGAAGAAGGCCUUAGGGUUGUAAAGUACUUUUAGUCGGGAGGCGUUACCGAAAGAAGAAGCACCGGCUAACUACGUGCCAGCAGCCGCGGUAAUUC
rnacentral:rRNA from 1 species